GGAGUUUGGUCCGUGUCUCAGUACCAAUGUGGGGGACCUUCCUCUCAGAACCCCUACUGAUCGAUGGCUUGGUGGGCCGUUACCCCGCCAACAACCUAAUCAGACGCAUCCCCAUCCCUUAGCGACAAGUCUUUGGUUCAAAUCAGAUGUCCUCUUCGAACAACAUAGGGUAUUAAUCCGACUUUCGCCGGGCUAUGCCCUACUAAGGGAAGGUUGGAUACGCGUUACUCACCCGUGCGCCGGUCGCCAUCAGAGUUUGCAAGCAAACUCCAUGCUGCCCCUCGACUUGCAUGUGUUAAGCCUAUAGCUAGCGUUCAUC
rnacentral:rRNA from 1 species